AUGAUUUCAUUGUGGAUUCGUAUACGUCGUUUGACAACGGCAAGGACAUGUGGGCUGCGCUCGAGGCCAAGUUUGGUGCCUUGGACGCUGGCAGCGAGUUGUACGUCAUGGAGCAUCUAUGACUACAAGAUGACUGAUGAGCACUCUGUUGUACAGCAGGCUCAUGAGAUACAGUCGCUCGCAAAAGAACUUGAGUACUUCAAGUGUGUGUUGCCGGGCAAAUUUGUUGUCGGAGGCAUCAUUGCCAAGCUUCCACCUUCAUGGAACAAUUUUGCUACUUCCCUGAAACACAAGAGACGGGAGUUUUCCGUUUCGCAUCUCAUUGGUACUCUUGAUGUUGAAGAGAAGGCGAGAGCAAAAGACACACGUGCUCGAGUUGCUGAGGGAGCUUCUAGUGCCCACAUGGUACAGAAGAAGAGCUUCUAG
rnacentral:rRNA from 1 species